GUUCCCAUUUUCAUAUUGCUGUUUUUUCUCACCACACUUUGCGUGUAUUCUACCAGUUUUGUUGAUCUCACAGUGUAUGCUGACCCUCUUUUGGAAAAUCACCACAUUCCAUUUCUGACCUCUUUAUUUUCCCUAUUCAUCAUUAUCUUAUGUUGUAUACAUGUCAUAUACUCACUCUGUUCUUUGUUGCACAAAUCACAUGCCCAUUGCACAGAGGCAAUGACACAAAGAUGGCAUUCUCUCUUUGCUUUGGGCACAUGCCCAUAAGAAUCCAAAGGGUUAGCAAGAGCAAUCACGGUCUGGUUUGUUAGUGAGAGAAGACAGACAGUGACACAGAAAGGACAAAUGAUGCAGAGUCUGCCAGUGAUAAUGUUGACAAUUUGGAGUCAGGAAGCAACAAAACAGAGAGAAAGCCAACUACUGAUACUUUAAGUUAAAGUAUUUAAAAAUACCCAUUCUGCCCUUUGUGACCAGGAGCGGAAGCUUCACAAAACAGGAUGUGUAGCCAUUUUAACGGUCACACCACAAUGAAGUGUUGUAUUCAGUCUUUAUUUACAUAAUAUUCUUAUUUAUAGUGCCCAGAGGGAACAGUUUACAGUAAGAUUCACAUUACCAGGAAAGAGAUUUACACCAUCUGCUCUAUUUAAGGCUGUUUUAAUUUAAUUUCCUUUUCCCAUCACCCUUUUACCCUGACUUACGUUUUAGGUUUCACUUACUUUGCAUGUUUUCCGUACACCUACAUUUUACAGGAAAAUGUCAUGUGUCCUUAAGGGGUUAAGGAGUGAGCCAAAG